AGUAAGAUAUGGUUCUCAAGGCCUGGAGAGGCAAACCAUGUCCAGAAAAGGUCCCUGAUGAUAGAACUCCCUGAGUAUUCUUGCAGAAAUGAAUAUCCACCAGGCUUCUUCUUUUUUUUUUUUUUUUUUGAGAUGGAGUCUGUCUCUGUCGCCCAGGCUGGCGUGCAAUGGUGGGAUCUUGGCUCAAUGCAAGCUCCGCCUCCCAGGUUCACGCUAUUCUCCUGCCUCAGCCUCCCAACUACUCAGGAGGCUGAAGCAGGAGGAUUGCUUGAACCCAGGAGGCGGUGGUUGCAGUGAGCCAAGGUGGCGCCACCGCUCUCCAGCCUGGCAACAGAGCGUGACUCCAUCUCAAAAAAAGAAAAAAAAAAAUUUCAGGGAUAUUUAUGUAGUGACCUGUUAUUUAAUUUUUCAAUAAUAUAAAUCUGUUUCAAGAAAAAGAAAUUUUAAAUAAACUCUUAUGAUUUUCUUUCUCCUGAAAAUUAUUCCAGAACUUAAAAAAAAAGAAGAAACAAAACAGAGUAAGUACAUUAGCUUUAUUCAACAUAGCAUCUUGUCUAGUAGUAAACUACUAAAAACAGUCUCCUGAGUGGAAAAAAUAUAAAUUUUUGUCUAUAGCAUCAGCGUUGUCCUGCGUGUUCUCAUUAUUUUCUCCAAAUAAAUUGGCUCAAUAUGCUGCUAAGUAUUACCAUUUAUGUUUAUUUUGAAGUUCUAUAUCUUGUCUUUCCUGUUUCAUCUGUAAACAGGCAAUUAUUGCCUCAGUGUGUAUUCUGAUACAUUUUCUCUCUAAAUCUAUUGUCCAACAUCUUGCAUAUAAAAUCUGGCUUUUCUCUCAUAUAUCAAAAUCACAGGUCACAUAGUCUCAGUGCCAAGAGUUAUAAGAACAACUACUUUAUUUCACUCCCAUCUCUGUGAAUACAAAACUUCAAUCUCUAAAGUAUUUUGUAUCUAUUUAUAACACUAUGUUCCUGGUUUAUUAUUAUAUUAUUUCAUUAUUAGUUCUUAAAAACUUAACAAGGUGCUGAAUAAUUUUGUGAAAUAUUCCAUGGAGAACUACCAUUAAAAUAGUGAUUACUUUAA
rnacentral:lncRNA from 1 species